rnacentral:lncRNA from 1 species
UUAGAGUAUGUGGUGCUGGGUUAACGGGUCGGGUUAUCGGGUUGGUGGGGAACCCAUGGGUUGUGGAUUGUGUGAAGAGUGAGGAUUUGAUGAUGGUUGCUGUGAGAGAAACCAUGGUGUGUGUGAGUGAGAGGUUGUUAGCAGAGUGUGAAGAAGAAGAUUGGUAGAAUUUGCCUUAUCUCAAGAAUUGUUGAGAUGUUAACCGAUGUUUAACCGGAUGUAAACCGGAUUGGUUAAAAAGUUCGCAUAUUCGAUCUAGAUCUUUUGGGGCCACUUGAUAUUUCUUCUCUUCUAGUGGAGGAUAUUGACGUUAACAUAUCAUCGUUAAAUCUCUUAAACAAGUGCUGCUGUAAUGACUUUUACUGAACAGAUAUGCUAUGUAAUGACUAGUGGUAAUUUAAAUGGAAAAAAAAAACGGUGAAGGAUUCGUUUUCUUCAAAAUUUGAAAAAUGUUUCGGUGACUACUAGCCACUAGGUAUUAACUCGAAUUAUAAGUUUUUGUAUCCAAUUAUGCUAAUUUAAAUACAGCAUUUUGUAAACCAAACAUAUUUAACCUGAAAACGGGACCUAUGAUACAGUUAGCCCAAUAGAUCUGAAGACUUCCUAAAUAGGCCCAACAAGAAAAAUCAUUUUAAUCUACAAUGGGCCGACCAUAACCUUCGUUAUCACGCAUGAUAUCUCAAACUUUCGACCUAAUUAACACCAUGAUCUCUCAAAAUCAUCAUCUAUACUAUACUAUAUAUAGGAAAAAUACAUAUGUAGUCUGAAUUUUUCUUAUGGUACUUCAGUUAAAAUAGAAAUUUAUUGUCAAAUUCAAUCAAGUAACCGAAUCAUCAAUUGAUACUUUUGAUAUGUCAUCUUCAGAAGUACGGGUACAUUCUUCGAUUUCAAUAGCUUUGGUAUAAACAGAUUGCAAAAACGUUUUACAAUUCAUUAACACUUUAAAAAUAGUUAUAUUUGUAGCUUGCUUCUUUUGGUUGAGGAUUAUCUACCAAAAUACGAUUUUAAUUUAUUAGUCAAGUAGUUCAAUGAUGUUUUGGCAGAUUUUUUUUAAAUGAAUGAAGUUGAUCAUCUAUAUAUCAAUCAAAACGUAUAUGCCGAAACAAGAAUAAAACUUCACAUCUUAAAUAGUAAUCAUGGUUUCAUGAGUGAGCAACUACUAAAGUAUAUCUAUUCUAUUAAAACAGCAGCAUGACCUAAGAAUUUGUAAAGAAAAAGUAAACAACAAUAAGUUAGAUUUGUACAUACUUUUUGACCUGAAUCACGUGUGUACAAUCACAUUACCAAUCAAAAACAGUAAUUUAAAUGAAACAUGCAAAUGAAUAUGAGUAAUAUAAAUAAAUAAUUAUUAGUUGUGAUAAACUACUAAAGUAUAUCUAUUCUAUUAAAACAGCAGCAUGACCUAUUGAUAUAUGUGUAGUCCAACUGAAAUUACUUUUAAAAUAACUGCUUUAUUCUACAAAAUACAAAAGUAAUACCAAACCUUAUAUAUCAUAACCUCUCCUUUUUUGAGCCAAAUCGAAACCACUUCUUUUAUUCCUAUAUUUUAGGGAUCCACUACUCUUAUCUUAACCAAUUAAAAUCUAUGUUUAUAUAAUAUAUUUGAGUAUGUAACAAAAAUGAUGACAUGUUCGACUAUAAUCCCUGUAGCAUGUUUCGCCAAAAAAAUAUGUUAAUAUACUUUAUAAAGAAUAUGACCAUAUAUGACAUGUUCCAUAUAAUUCAUCCAUAUGUGCAAUUAAAAAAGCCCAGUGUUAUUCAAUUUUUAAUGGGUUUUACCUAUAUAUUGUCAAAUAUGUUUGAUAUAUAUAUAUAUUUUAAAUGGUUAUAUGCACUGAUUUAUAUUUUUAAUAACUUUAAGAAUAUUUUAAUUUAUUUGUGAUUUUGGAUAUUCAAAAAAAAAAUAUUUCCAUUGACAAUUAUAUAUAACUAUUAGCUAUUACUACACGUUGAAAUUAAACAUAGGUAUUCUGAUAUCUAUUCUGGUACGAAUCGAUUCUUUCAAGUUUUUGUGUUUAUAUAUAUAAAAAUUAAGUUUUUCGGAAGAAAAUUAAAACGAAAAAUAUACCCGCCCUUUCAAGGGCGGGUUAGAAUCUAGUUUUUUUAACUUAAACCAUUGUCUAAAUUAAUUUCACUCCCGGUUUUUACAAUUAUUUUUUCUCUCUCUUUGGAAUGUUUUCCAUGAAGGAGAGACUAAAAUCGAUGAAGAUCGGUUUACCAUCACCACCGGACUAGAUAGUUUUCGAAGAAAUUAAUUAGCAUAAUAAGAUCGUUAGGGAAAUCUUAUGAAAGUCCAAAACUUGGACUGGGUAUCUUAUGCUUGUUGCUCAAAAUUUUCAAUGGUUUUUGGGCCCAAAUAAAAGGCCCAUCAAAAUUAGAGUAUUGUUUUUACAUGACUGGGUUUCCACGUAGGAUCGAGUGUCACUGUCUUUGACCCCACGUGCUGGAGGGUGGGAGAACCGCGCGGUUGUAGGCAAGCUGUGUGGGCAACACGCGUAUCUCUUUGGCUCCUCGUUAUGGGCUCCACUAAUAUCGCUGACGUGGAAAUUUUUCCACUUACCUAUCACUAUCGCCGCCUUUGGACGAACGACACACACCGAGACCGAGUCAACUAAGUACACUACUAUCUUAUCUAUACAUGCAUGGAAUUGGUAAAGCAGUCUAUUCGUGAUAAAAGUCUCAAAGCACUAAAGGCGUCACGCAUAGAACGUCAGGCAUUGGAUGUCAUAGAUAAUACAUAAUCAGUGUUUUAUAGCUUUUAAAAAAAAAGUAGACUUUUCGACCUUUGAGGCGGCUUAGUGCAAUUGCGAAAGCCUUUCAGUUUUGAUUCCGAAGCAGGCUUGUACGUCCUUCUNNNNNNNNNNNNNNNNNNNNNNNNNNNNNNNNNNNNNNNNNNNNNNNNNNNNNNNNNNNNNNNNNNNACCCAGCCGACGUCUCCGCGGCGGCUAGGGUAAUCCUUAAUCGCACGCGCGAGGUCCUGAGCCUUUUUCGAGUCGAAGCUCCGAUCUAUGAUGUAAGUCGCGGCGGCGACGCGCUGCGUGGUGCUGAGGAGGCGGAUCUCGUAGAGAAGCUCCGCGCCGCCGGUGUCGAAGGCCGCGAUGAGCUCCGGUUCGUGGAGGGACUGAGCGAUCGAGUCGCGGACCUUGGUGCCGACGAUGAGGCGGUUCUGCUCGAUGCUGGAGAUUCCGGUGAGCUCCUCGAUGUUCGGAGGGGUGAGGCCUUCGGCGUAGAGGGAGGAGAUGAGGGGGGCGUACUCGAACCAGAGGGCUAAUCGUCCGGCGAGGAUCUCGAUUUUGCCGGCGGAGUCGAGGGAGCGGAAUUGGGGCGGGACGGGGGAGGACGGGGGGCGGAGGGGUUGGUAGAGGUUUUGGCGCGCCGGCGGGUUUUUGGGGAUCAUGUUUUGAGGUUUGCGAGACACGUUGGCGGUGACGGUUAGAGUAUGUGGUGCUGGGUUAACGGGUCGGGUAAUCGGGUUAGUGGGGAAUCCAUGGGUUGUGGAUUGGGUGAAUGGUGUGAAGAGUGAGGAUUUGAUGAUGGUUGCUGUGAGAGAAACCAUGGUGUGUGUGAGUGAGAGGUUGUUAGCAGAGUGUGAAGAAGAAGAUUGGUAGAAUUUGCCUUAUCUCAAGAAUUGUUGAGAUGUUAACCGAUGUUUAACCGGAUGUAAACCGGAUUGGUUAAAAAGUUCGCAUAUUCGAUCUAGAUCUUUUGGGGCC